rnacentral:tRNA from 1 species
UGUAGCUCAGUGGUAGAGUGCAUGUUUAGCAUGCAUGUGACCCUGGGUUUGAUACACAGCA